rnacentral:rRNA from 1 species
GGGGGAUAAGCGGAAGAAAUUCCGUCUAAUACCGCAUAAUACAAUUUGGAGACAUCUCCGGGUUGUCAAAGGAGUGAUCCGGCAGAGGAUGGACGUGCGGCGCAUUAGCUAGUCGGCGGGGUAACGGCCCACCGAGGCUACGAUGCGUAGGGGUUCUGAGAGGAAGGUCCCCCACACUGGUACUGAGACACGGACCAGACUCCUACGGGAGGCAGCAGUGAGGAAUAUUGGUCAAUGGGCGGAAGCCUGAACCAGCCAAGUCGCGUGAGGGAAGACGGUCCUAUGGAUUGUAAACCUCUUUUGCAGGGGAGCAAGGCGCGGUACGUGUACCGCGAAGGAGAGUACCCUGAGAAAAAGCAUCGGCUAACUCCGUGCCAGCAGCCGUGGUAAUACGGAGGAUGCGAGCGUUAUCCGGAUUUAUUGGGUUUAAAGGGUGCGCAGGCGGACUGUUAAGUCAGCGGUAAAAUGUCGGUGCUCAACACCGGCCGGCCGUUGAAACUGGCAGCCUUGAGUGAGCGAGAAGUAUGCGGAAUGCGUGGUGUAGCGGUGAAAUGCAUAGAUAUCACGCAGAACUCCGAUUGCGAAGGCAGCAUACCGGCGCUCAACUGACGCUCAGGCACGAAAGCGUGGGUAUCGAACAGGCUUAGAUACCCUGGUAGUCCACGCAGUAAAC